rnacentral:rRNA from 1 species
CAGCCGUAAACUAUGCGCGUUAGGUGUAUCGGUGACCACGAGUUACCGAGGUGCCGAAGGGAAACCGUGAAACGUGCCGCCUGGGAAGUACGGUCGCAAGGCUGAAACUUAAAGGAAUUGGCGGGGGAGCACCACAACAGGUGGAGCCUGCGGGUUUAAUUUGGACUCAACGCCGGGAAGCUCACCGGAUAAGACAGCGGAAUGAUUGCCGGGCUGAAGACUCUGCAUGACUAGCUGAGAGGAGGUGCAUGGCGUAGACGUCU